rnacentral:lncRNA from 1 species
AGUAGUGUCAUUAUUUGUCAUUAUUACUUUUAAUAUAUUUGUGGUAUUUAGCUAUACGCGUUCGUAUGUAACGGAAAUCAGCCUUCCGUGUAAUUUUGUACGUCACGCAUUGCGGCAAAACUUUUAGCGCGUGCGCGGAAAUAGCACGCGUAAAUGCGAGUAAGGUACUGAGCGGAUGUGAUGUAAUGUGUUGUAAACCUGUUUGUCCAGUACGUAUUGUCUAUGUAUAGAAUACCUAGUAUUGAAUGUAGGGUAAUUUACCUGGUGCACUGGUCACUUUGAACAGAGCGGCCAGAGCGAGCACAGCGAACAUUUGUACACCUAUAUCUUUACCUAGCCAGCAUAGGAAUUAAAAGAGGUAGCGGGCACUAGAGCCAAAAGCAAAUAAUCUUACAUUGAACGAGUAAGACUGAGGACUCGGCGGACUUUGUCCGAGAAAACCCUCUUCACAUUGAAGAGGGUUUUUACUUACGUAAUAAAUUAACUGAGAAAAGAACCCAGGAGUUGUCGUAUAUCCACGAUAAAAGACGACUAUUACAAAAG